rnacentral:rRNA from 1 species
UACAGAGGGUGCGAGCGUUAAUCGGAAUUACUGGGCGUAAAGCGCGCGUAGGCGGCUUUUCAAGUCGAUUGUGAAAUCCCCGGGCUUAACCUGGGAACUGCAGUCGAGACUGUCCAGCUAGAGUAUGGGAGAGGGAAGUGGAAUUUCAGGUGUAGCGGUGAAAUGCGUAGAUAUCUGAAGGAACAUCAGUGGCGAAAGCGACUUCCUGGACCAAUACUGAUGCUCAUGUGCGAAAGCGUGGGGAGCAAACAGG